rnacentral:rRNA from 1 species
UUUGCAUAUCCCAUAGCGGAGGAAAAGAAACCAACAGGGAUUGCCCCAGUAACGGCGAGUGAAGCGGCAAAAGCUCAAAUUUGAAAUCCUGCGGGAAUUGUAAUUUGAAGGUUUCGUGGUCUGAGUCGGCCGCGCCCAAGUCCAUUGGAACAUGGCGCCUGGGAGGGUGAGAGCCCCGUAUGGCGCACGCCGACUCUUUGCACCGCGGCUCCGACGAGUCGAGUUGUUUGGGAAUGCAGCUCUAAGUGGGUGGUAAAUUCCAUCUAAAGCUAAAUAUUGGCGAGAGACCGAUAGCGAACAAGUACAGUGAUGGAAAGAUGAAAAGCACUUUGAAAAGAGAGUGAAACAGCACGUGAAAUUGUUGAAAGGGAAGGGCUUGCAAGCAGACACGGUUUUACCGGGCCAGCGUCGAAAAGGGGGGAGGAACAAGAACUCGAGAAUGUGGCGCGCACCUUCGGGCGCGCGUGUUAUAGCUCGUGUUGACGCCUCCAUCCCUUUUCGAGGCCUGCGAUUCUAGGACGCUGGCGUAAUGGUUGCAAGCCGCCCGUCUUGAACAAACGGACCACAA